rnacentral:rRNA from 1 species
UACGGCCAUACCACCCUGAACACGCCCGAUCUCGUCUGAUCUCGGAAGCUAAGCAGGGUCGGGCCUGGUUAGUACUUGGAUGGGAGAAAUGUCCUGGCAAUAAGCAGUAA